rnacentral:rRNA from 1 species
AUACGGAGGAUGCGAGCGUUAUCCGGAUUUAUUGGGUUUAAAGGGUGCGUAGGCUGUGCGUUAAGUCAGGGGUGAAAUGCCGUCGCUCAACGACGGAGCUGCCCUUGAUACUGGCGUGCUGGAGUACGGAUGCCGUUGGAGGAAUGAGUGGUGUAGCGGUGAAAUGCUUAGAUAUCACUCAGAACACCGAUUGCGAAGGCAUCUGACGAAUCCGUCACUGACGCUGAGGCACGAAAGCGUGGGGAUAGAACAGGAUUAGAUACCCUGGUAUUCCACGCCGUAAACGAUGAUGACUAACUGUCGGCGAUAGACAGCCGGUGGCCAAGCGAAAGCGAUAAGUCAUCCACCUGGGGAGUACGUCGGCAACGAUGAAACUCAAAGGAAUUGACGGGG